CAGUAGCCGCGGUAAUACGUAGGUGGCAAGCGUUGUCCGGAAUUAUCGGGCGUAAAGGGCUCGCAGGCGGUUUCUUAAGUCUGAUGUGAAAGCCCCCGGCUCAACCGGGGAGGGUCAUUGGAAACUGGGAAACUUGAGUGCAGAAGAGGAGAGUGGAAUUCCACGUGUAGCGGUGAAAUGCGUAGAGAUGUGGAGGAACACCAGUGGCGAAGGCGACUCUCUGGUCUGUAACUGACGCUGAGGAGCGAAAGCGUGGGGAGCGAACAGGAUUAGAUACCCGCGUAGUCCCUGUCUCUUAUAC
rnacentral:rRNA from 1 species